rnacentral:rRNA from 1 species
AUUGAACGCUGGCGGGAUGCCUUACACAUGCAAGUCGAACGGCAGCACGGGUGCUUGCACCUGGUGGCGAGUGGCGAACGGGUGAGUAAUACAUCGGAACAUGUCCUGUAGUGGGGGAUAGCCCGGCGAAAGCCGGAUUAAUACCGCAUACGAUCUACGGAUGAAAGCGGGGGACCUUCGGGCCUCGCGCUAUAGGGUUGGCCGAUGGCUGAUUAGCUAGUUGGUGGGGUAAAGGCCUACCAAGGCGACGAUCAGUAGCUGGUCUGAGAGGACGACCAGCCACACUGGGACUGAGACACGGCCCAGACUCCUACGGGAGGCAGCAGUGGGGAAUUUUGGACAAUGGGCGAAAGCCUGAUCCAGCAAUGCCGCGUGUGUGAAGAAGGCCUUCGGGUUGUAAAGCACUUUUGUCCGGAAAGAAAUCCUUGGCCCUAAUACGGUCGGGGGAUGACGGUACCGGAAGAAUAAGCACCGGCUAACUACGUG